GUACUCUCUUCAGCAGCACAUAUAUUAAAAUUGGAAUGAUAUGGAGAAGAUUAGCAUGGCCCCUGCACAAAGAUGACACGCAAAUUCGUGAAGCAUUCUAUAUUUUA
rnacentral:snRNA from 1 species